rnacentral:tRNA from 1 species
AGCCUUGUGGUGAGAAACACAUUGGAUUGCAAAUCCGAAGACGCAGAUUGAUACUCUGCCGGGGCUU